rnacentral:rRNA from 1 species
CCUACGGGAGGCUGCAGUGGGGAAUAUUGCACAAUGGGGGAAACCCUGAUGCAGCGACGCCGCGUGAGUGAAGAAGUAUCUGCGUACGGAAAACCCUAUCAGCAGGGAAGCAAAUGACGGUACCUGACUAAGAAGCCCCGGCUAACUACGUGCCAGCAGCCGCGGUAAUGCGUAGGGGGCAGGCGUGAUCCGGAUUAACUGGGUGUAAAGGGAGCGUAGACGGCAGCAUGAGUGUGGAGUGAAAUCCCGGGGCUUAACCCCGGAACUGCUGUGGAAACUGUGCGGCUGGAGUGAAGGAGGGGGAAGCGGAAUGCCUGGUGUAGCGGUGAAAUGCGUAGAUAUUAGGAGGAACACCGGUGGCGAAGGCGGCUUACUGGACUGUAACUGACGUUGAGGCUCGAAAGCGUGGGGAGCAAACAGGAUUAGAUACCCUUGUAGUC